rnacentral:sRNA from 1 species
UUUGAAANGNUAAAGUCGUAACAAGGUUUCCGUAGGUGAACCUGCGGAAGGAUCAUUACAGAAUGAAAAGUGCUUAACUGCAUUUUUUCUUACACAUGUGUUUUUCUUUUUUUGAAAACUUUGCUUUGGUAGGCCUUCUAUAUGGGGCCUGCCAGAGAUUAAACUCAACCAAAUUUUAUUUAAUGUCAACCGAUUAUUUAAUAGUCAAAACUUUCAACAACGGAUCUCUUGGUUCUCGCAUCGAUGAAGAACGCAGCGAAAUGCGAUAAGUAAUAUGAAUUGCAGAUAUUCGUGAAUCAUCGAAUCUUUGAACGCACAUUGCGCCCUUUGGUAUUCCAAAGGGCAUGCCUGUUUGAGCGUCAUUUCUCCCUCAAACCCUCGGGUUUGGUGUUGAGCGAUACGCUGGGUUUGCUUGAAAGAAAGGCGGAGUAUAAACUAAUGGAUAGGUUUUUUCCACUCAUUGGUACAAACUCCAAAACUUCUUCCAAAUUCGACCUCAAAUCAGGUAGGACUACCCGCUGAACUUAAGCAUAUCAAUAGCGGGGAAGGAA